rnacentral:rRNA from 1 species
GACGAACGCUGGCGGCGUGCUUAACACAUGCAAGUCGAACGGAAAGGCCCUGCUUUUGUGGGGUGCUCGAGUGGCGAACGGGUGAGUAACACGUGAGUAACCUGCCCUUGACUUUGGGAUAACUUCAGGAAACUGGGGCUAAUACCGGAUAGGAGCUCCUGCUGCAUGGUGGGGGUUGGAAAGUUUCGGCGGUUGGGGAUGGACUCGCGGCUUAUCAGCUUGUUGGUGGGGUAGUGGCUUACCAAGGCUUUGACGGGUAGCCGGCCUGAGAGGGUGACCGGCCACAUUGGGACUGAGAUACGGCCCAGACUCCUACGGGAGGCAGCAGUGGGGAAUAUUGCACAAUGGGCGGAAGCCUGAUGCAGCAACGCCGCGUGCGGGAUGACGGCCUUCGGGUUGUAAACCGCUUUCGCCUGUGACGAAGCGUGAGUGACGGUAAUGGGUAAAGAAGCACCGGCUAACUACGUGCCAGCAGCCGCGGUGAUACGUAGGGUGCGAGCGUUGUCCGGAUUUAUUGGGCGUAAAGGGCUCGUAGGUGGUUGAUCGCGUCGGAAGUGUAAUCUUGGGGCUUAACCCUGAGCGUGCUUUCGAUACGGGUUGACUUGAGGAAGGUAGGGGAGAAUGGAAUUCCUGGUGGAGCGGUGGAAUGCGCAGAUAUCAGGGGGAACACCAGUGGCGAAGGCGGUUCUCUGGGCCUUUCCUGACGCUGAGGAGCGAAAGCGUGGGGAGCGAACAGGCUUAGAUACCCUGGUAGUCCACGCUGUAAACGGUGGGUACUAGGUGUGGGGUCCAUUCCACGGGUUCCGUGCCGUAGCUAACGCUUUAAGUACCCCGCCUGGGGAGUACGGCCGCAAGGCUAAAACUCAAAGGAAUUGACGGGGCCCCGCACAAGCGGCGGAGCAUGCGGAUUAAUUCGAUGCAACGCGUAGAACCUUACCUGGGUUUGACAUGGAUCGGGAGUGCUCAGAGAUGGGUGUGCCUCUUUUGGGGUCGGUUCACAGGUGGUGCAUGGCUGUCGUCAGCUCGUGUCGUGAGAUGUUGGGUUAAGUCCCGCAACGAGCGCAACCCUUGUUCACUGUUGCCAGCACGUUAUGGUGGGGACUCAGUGGAGACCGCCGGGGUCAACUCGGAGGAAGGUGGGGAUGACGUCAAGUCAUCAUGCCCCUUAUGUCCAGGGCUUCACGCAUGCUACAAUGGCUGGUACAGAGAGUGGCGAGCCUGUGAGGGUGAGCGAAUCUCGGAAAGCCGGUCUCAGUUCGGAUUGGGGUCUGCAACUCGACCUCAUGAAGUCGUAGUCGCUAGUAAUCGCAGAUCAGCAACGCUGCGGUGAAUACGUUCCCGGGGCU